rnacentral:misc_RNA from 1 species
GAAAGAGGUAAAUAGUAAGCCUAAAAAUGUGGUAGUAUUGGAGGAUUUAGGAGCUGAGUAUUUAGAAGAGCUAUUGAGCUCAUCAUGUGUAGGAAGUCCUAAUCCUUGAUGAAUAAUUAAUCUUUUUGUCCAUUAUUUCCUUUUUUCAGAUCUUUUUUUUUUUUGACAACCCUUCUUUCAGAUCUUAAUUAAUUCUCGAUUUUCUUUUCUUUUCUUUUUCACAUCUUGUUAUCCACUCCGUAUAACCAUGGAAGAACAAGGCUGUUUACUUUUCUUGGGCUGAUGCGCCAUGGUGGGGUUCAGCUUUCUCUGUCAAUUUCUGUUUUUUGUGCUGAAAUUGUAGAGUUGAAAAUGAUAUGGAUAUGGAUAUGUUUAUUAAG